rnacentral:rRNA from 1 species
AGUACAGGCCAUACCACCCUGAACACGCCCGACCUCGUCUGAUCUCGGAAGCUAAGCAAGGUCGGGCCUGGUCAGUACUUGGAUGGGAGAAGUACACAUGGGACUCUAUCC